UGAGGAAUAUUGGUCAAUGGACGAGAGUCUGAACCAGCCAAAUCGCGUGAAGGAAGACUGCCCUACGGGUUGUAAACUUCUUUUGUACAGGAAUAAAAGACAUUACGUGUAAUGUAUUGCAUGUACUGUACGAAUAAGCAUCGGCUAACUCCGUGCCAGCAGCCGCGGUAAUACGGAGGAUGCGAGCGUUAUCCGGAUUUAUUGGGUUUAAAGGGUGCGCAGGCGGGAUUUUAAGUCAGCGGUGAAAUUUUCAGGCUCAACCUGAACACUGCCGUUGAAACUGGGAUUCUUGAGUAUGGAUGAAGUAGGCGGAAUUCGUUGUGUAGCGGUGACAUGCUUAGAUAUAACGAGGAACUCCGAUUGCGUAGGCAGCUUACUAAGCCAUAACUGACGCUCAAGCACGAAAGCGUGGGGAUCAAACAGGAUUAGAUACCCUGGUAGUCCACGCCGUAAACGAUGAUUACUAGUUGUUUGCGAUAUACCGUAAGUGACUAAGCGAAAGCGAUAAGUAAUCCACCUGGGGAGUACGCCGGCAACGGUG
rnacentral:rRNA from 1 species